GCACCUGUAGCUCAGUUGGUUAGAGCAUCUGACUCAUAAUCAGAAGGUCGCAGGUUCAAUCCCUGCCGGGUGCA
rnacentral:tRNA from 1 species